GACGAACGCUGGCGGCGUGCUUAACACAUGCAAGUCGAACGGAAAGGCCCUGCUUUUGUGGGGUGCUCGAGUGGCGAACGGGUGAGUAACACGUGAGUAACCUGCCCUUGACUUUGGGAUAACUUCAGGAAACUGGGGCUAAUACCGGAUAGGAGCUCCUGCUGCAUGGUGGGGGUUGGAAAGUUUCGGCGGUUGGGGAUGGACUGGCGGCUUAUCAGCUUGUUGGUGGGGUAGUGGCUUACCAAGGCUUUGACGGGUAGCCGGCCUGAGAGGGUGACCGGCCACAUUGGGACUGAGAUACGGCCCAGACUCCUACGGGAGGCAGCAGUGGGGAAUAUUGCACAAUGGGCGGAAGCCUGAUGCAGCAACGCCGCGUGCGGGAUGACGGCCUUGGGGUUGUAAACCGCUUUCGCCUGUGACGAAGCGUGAGUGACGGUAAUGGGUAAAGAAGCACCGGCUAACUACGUG
rnacentral:rRNA from 1 species